GAGAGAGAGACAUGCGCGCAUAUCAAUAAGCGGAGGAAAAGAAACUAACAAGGAUUCCCCUAGUAACGGCGAGUGAAGCGGGAAGAGCUCAAAUUUGAAAUCUUAAAGGGUUUCCCUUUACGAAUUGUAGUUUAAAGAAGUGUUUUCUGUUAGAUGAGUAGCAAAAGUUCUUUGGAAUAGGACAUCAUAGAGGGUGAGAAUCCCGUAUUUGACCUUUACUUUCAACUUUGUGAUACACUUUCAAAGAGUCGGAUUGUUUGGGAAUGCAGUCCAAAAUGGGUGGUAAAUUUCAUCUAAAGCUAAAUAUUGGCGAGAGACCGAUAGCGAACAAGUACCGUGAGGGAAAGAUGAAAAGAACUUUGAAAAGAGAGUUAAACAGUACGUGAAAUUGUCAAAAGGGAAGCGUUUGACACCAGUGUUGUUUUUCUGAAAAUCAAUUAAAGAACUGUUUAUGCUAAGCUGUUUAGACUUUAUCAGCUAUCUGUUUAGUUUUGAGCUUUUCUUUAAUGCACUUUUCAGUUAACAAGUCAACAUCAAUUUCUUUUGCUGUAAAAAAGCUUGAGGAAGGUGGCUUGAGAUUCGUCUUAAGUGUUUAUAGCCUCUUGCCUAUGCAGUCGGAGAGAUUGAGGUCUGCAGCGUAGAUCCUUCGGGGCUAAAUGCAUUUGUGCUAAGUUAUAGCAUUUUAUAGACAACUUGUUGACUAUGAUUUGUCUUGUAGCUUACUCGCUUAUGUUAUUUUACCUACGCUUAGGAUGUUGACGCAUGAGAUAUACGC
rnacentral:rRNA from 1 species